GCACUGCUGAGGAGUCCCAAAAAAAGGACGAAAACGGCCGUCCAGUGC
rnacentral:hammerhead_ribozyme from 1 species